CGCAAACAAACCACGCAUUAAGUCGAUCGCUAACCCUACCCACAACGCACGCACGACCUCUCGCCCCCGCAUCCUCCCGCACGGGCCGUUCCUCCACGCCCGCACGACCUCUCGCCAUCUCCUCCUCCCGCACGGGCCAUUCGCCGCCCCGCCGUUCCUCCCGCGGCCGUCAACCGCAGCCGCAGCCCCCCGCCGCUCAGCUUGGCGGAGCCGCCGGAGCCACCCCCUUCGCCGCCAUCCAGUAGCUGGCAACCGGCGCGCUCCGAAGUCGCCGCCGGUGGGCCGCCGCAAGACCACCGUCGGCCGCGUCCAUACCCUCAUCCAUCUGCAUACCCCCGGCUUCGUCUCCUCCGCGCCGAGGCCGUAUGCGCCCUUGAUCUGGACGGCAGUACCACCGGGGCGCAUCACCUUCUUGCGCCUCCCACAUCGGCCUCCAUCUCCAUGGUUGUCCUGCUCUGUACCCAAUGUCUGUCUAUAAGCUUCAUGUGCAUCAGUAGUCUUGAGCCACCAAUCUGGAUCGAACAGGUCGCAGGGGCUUGCCGGCAACACCUGAUCUUUGAUCUGGUUUGUAUGCAUGCGUGUGUGUGAUUAGUUUCAGCGGCCACAGGUCGUUGCAGUAAGACGAUGCAUCACGCAUUGAAUGGAACCAUAAGGCUAGGAGCGCGUGCACACACUGGCGUCGGCGGCACGGUGUCAAGCUGCGGAGAAGGCAUCCGGCGAGGCGGCCACCAGGUGGAUAAGUGGAUGGCACAUGUGUAUAUUGCCGUUGAGGGAUCAUAUUCGACAUUUUAUUUUUAUCCCAACACUAGAUUGAAGUGGUGAUUUACAAAAGAUUUUUAGUGGGGCACAAGUGUAGAUUGAUACAAAAGCAUGCUGAAUAGUGAAGUAGUACCAUGCUAGAAUUACUUGGCUGCAUUUUUUUGUUUCUUUGAUGCAAUGUAAUCUUUGUUGUUCCUGUUAUUAGUGAAUUUUCUAGAACAUCGGAUAAGCACUAUGCUAAAAAAAAAGCUAUUCUAGAAAAGGAUGAGAAGAGCUAUUCCAGAAAAGGAUGAGAAGAGCCUCAAGGUACACUAUUUUUAUUCUUCCAGUGUGUAUUACAUAUUUUCUAGCUUGCAAUGCUUUAUAAGAUAUUUCAUAUGGAGGUCAACAUUGAAAAAAAAGGAGUAGUCAACUUGUGGAGAACAAUGUUAAUCAAGCUCUCAUGAUAUUUCCUCUGCUUCAAGAUGCUUUCUCAGCUAUUUGUUAACAUGCUUCUGAACUUUGAUUUUCUUUACUAAACUAGACCAUUGUGCAGGUGUUGGUUCAUGAUGGGUCGUCCUUCAAAAUCUUGACAAUUACCCUUGACACAACACAUGGGAUGUGCUCAAUCCUACUUAUUUUUGUCUGUUAUUUUAUAUAUGUUUUUCACCUCAGAGAUUUUAUUAAAUUUCAGUUGGGUUAUAACAAGAGAUGCAAAUAAAGAACUUUAUUAUGGGUUUUCAUAAAACAAAUAUGUACUUCCAAAUGCCUUGAAGGUUAUCGAUUAUAUGCAGCAAGGCCUUUUGAUUAAGUUGGCUCUUUUUUGACACCAAUUUAUAUGCAAGCUAUUUGAAUAUAUAUUUGCGGAAGAAAGUACAGAAGUGUGUUUGGGUGAGGCCAAGGUUAAACAUCUCACAUUUUGUUUCAGAAAUCAUCUCUACUUAAGUCCAAAAGGUCAUCAGGUGAUGAGAUGGAUGAACUCCCAGUUUGCAUUUAUUGGGAGCUAUGAAACUGCCUAUUACAUUGGAACUUGGUGAAGAAGACCUAUUCCUAUUUGAGUAUGUUGACAUUGACAAAAGGCAGCAAAGGGAACAAGUAUUGAAGGGGGCAUAAAGAACUAUGGGAGAAGCGUCCAUUUGAUAAGCUCAAAGUCAUUGGUUCGCACUACCGUGGUUAUAUCAAAGAUUCAAUGGGAAAGAAAGUUAGCUUGUUCACCAUCUUGACUGCAUUUUCAUUGUUUCUUAUUAGGCCUGAGAUGUAGAUAUACUGGUAGGCAUUCUUCACCCAUUAUGACUGAAGCCUGAUUAUCACAUUGUAUUGCCAUGCGUUACAAACUGUUUUUGAAAUGUAACUCCUGCCCAUCAUACGAGAACUUGGUUUAGAUUAUGAUUAUUCAUUUACAUAUCAUUAUUUAUACUCUUGUCUUAGAGUAAGAAAACUUGGUUCUUUGAAGUUCAGAUUAUGAGUUCACAAUUAGUUUAAUCCUGACCAUGCACAGUUUUUUGUAUAAAAUGGUGCGUAUUUUUUGUACAGAAAGAAGCGAGAGCACAUGGUAUGUAUAGUUUCUGCUUACCUCUGACCUUGGUUACUUUGAAUGAUUAUAUGCUUACUCACCGAGUAUAAUAGCUCAUUUUUUGUUCUUUGAAGAAUUGAACGUAUUACUAUACUCACUGGGUAUAAUAGCUCAAUUUUUGUUCUUUCUAACUACUAAGUGAUAAAAUGUUAUGCUGCAAUGUUUGGUUCUUGUUUUAGUGGAAAUUGGAGCUUUUACCUACAGUUUGCGGAAAUCUGUGUUUUGAAUACUUUGAAUGAGGCAGAGGUUAAAUGCUCUAUAAAUAAAGAGAGACAACAAGGAUUAGUGAGUUUAUGUCUUUGUUUGUACUGUUUUUAUACAAGGACAACAAUGAACGACAUAUGUACUUUUCAUCCUAUUUGUUUCUAGCAUGUAAAUGUAAGUAUUUCUUCAUGCACGUGAGAAACAAAAUAUUAGUUCUUACAUGUUUGAGGAUAUGUAUAACCAUAAUAUGUAAUGCAAUUGUGGUGAGGUAGAACGAGGAGGAGAGGUGUGUGAUGCUAGACAUAUUAGCAAAAAAUUUAGUUCCGUUGAUUACAUUCAUGAGUGUUCUUCCGUUGCAACAUACGGGCCUUGUUCACUUCCGUUACAAUAUGUUGAUCAAGGAUGAAGAGGUGGAUAAGUUUGUGGCUUUAGUUACUGAAUGUCCAGAUCUGGCUUGCUUCUCAACUAGGGCCUACAUUUAGAGAAGACAUAUUCAUAUGUACGUGAUUUAUAAGGUCCUUUUUCUAUACAUGUUUGCAAAGUUUGUCGGUAUAUUAUGCAGAGACAACUUGCCAUGGUUCUGUGUAGAUGUGUUCUUUAUUUCUCAAUUUCUUUUGCUUUAAAACGAUGUUGAUUGGCUGAAAGAAUGGUUCUGCAUGGUUUGCACUCACACCUACUUGAAUUUAGAGUUUCAUUAGCAAAUCCAUUUAGAACAGUGUUAACAUUUUACAUUUUUCUACAGAAAGUUGUACACUGCAGGGGUCUAUACCCACAAACCAAGGAAGGCAACUCAGAAGUUUCUCCCUGCCAAUAAUCAAGAUUCACAAGGAUAGGAGGGCAGAGAUAUCAUGCUGCCAUGGAACUGGUCCAUUUGUCAUUGCCUUUGCUGCUUUCAUGUUCCCUGAUAUUCAGUAGCCAUAUACUUUUAGGACUUCGGAUGUGAUUUCACAUGCGUCGCUGAUCAUAGUUGAUGCUUUUGUCGGUUCAGGGUGAGCUAUUUUGUGUACAGUUGCUAUUGGCCGUGGAAAGACUGGCUAUGCAUGGCUCUGUUUUAUUGAGCUUAGAUGAAAAUUUGAUGGACCACCUAAAUUCAUACGAAACAAACA